rnacentral:rRNA from 1 species
UGGGGUAUUUUGCACAAUGGGCGCAAGCCUGAUGCAGCCAUGCCGCGUGUAUGAAGAAGGCCUUCGGUUUGUAAAGUACUUUCAGCGGGGAGGAAGGGAGUAAAGUUAAUACCUUUGCUCAUUGACGUUACCCGCAGAAGAAGCACCGGCUAACUCCGUGCCAGCAGCCGCGGUAAUACGGAGGGUGCAAGCGUUAAUCGGAAUUACUGGGCGUAAAGCGCACGCAGGCGGUUUGUUAAGUCAGAUGUGAAAUCCCCGGGCUCAAACUGGGAACUGCGUCUGAUACUGGCAAGCUUGAGUGUCGUAGAGGGGGGUAGAAUUCCAGGUGUAGCGGUGAAAUGCGUAGAGAUCUGGAGGAAUACCGGUGGCGAAGGCGGCCCCCUGGACGAAGACAGACGCUCAGGUGCGAAAGCGUGGGGAGCGAACAGG